rnacentral:rRNA from 1 species
UACGAAGGGGGCUAGCGUUGCUCGGAAUCACUGGGCGUAAAGGGUGCGUAGGCGGGUCUUUAAGUCAGGGGUGAAAUCCUGGAGCUCAACUCCAGAACUGCCUUUGAUACUGAGGAUCUUGAGUUCGGGAGAGGUGAGUGGAACUGCGAGUGUAGAGGUGAAAUUCGUAGAUAUUCGCAAGAACACCAGUGGCGAAGGCGGCUCACUGGCCCGAUACUGACGCUGAGGCACGAAAGCGUGGGGAAGCCAAACAGGG